rnacentral:rRNA from 1 species
CGCGAAAGUUCUUCGGAAUGAGUAGAGCGGCGGACGGGUGAGUAAUGCAUAGGAAUCUGCCCAGUAGUGGGGGAUAGCCCGGGGAAACCCGGAUUAAUACCGCAUACGUCCUACGGGAGAAAGCAGGGGAUCUUCGGACCUUGCGCUAUUGGAUGAGCCUAUGUCGGAUUAGCUUGUUGGUGGGGUAACGGCCCACCAAGGCGACGAUCCGUAGCUGGUCUGAGAGGAUGAUCAGCCACACUGGAACUGAGACACGGUCCAGACUCCUACGGGAGGCAGCAGUGGGGAAUAUUGCACAAUGGGGGAAACCCUGAUGCAGCCAUGCCGCGUGUGUGAAGAAGGCCUUCGGGUUGUAAAGCACUUUCAGUAGGGAGGAAGGCCCUAAAGUUAAUACCUUUAGGGAUUGACGUUACCUACAGAAGAAGCACCGGCUAACUCCGUGCCAGCAGCCGCGGUAAUACGGAGGGUGCGAGCGUUAAUCGGAAUUACUGGGCGUAAAGCGCGCGUAGGCGGUUAGUUAAGCUGGAUGUGAAAGCCCCGGGCUCAACCUGGGAACUGCAUUCAGAACUGGCUGGCUAGAAG